rnacentral:rRNA from 1 species
AUGUUCGCCGGUGGAGCGUCCAGCGUUAACCCGGACGGGAAUAGUUCCAUUUGGAAUCUUAUAUGGCGGUCUUCUGUACCUCUGCGCAUGAAACAUACGGCAUGGCGGGUGGCGACUGGUGCCUUAGCUACAGCAGCUUGCAUGCAAUACCGGCACCUGGUGUCGUGUGGGACAUGCCCCCUAUGCGGUACUGAAGAUGAGGAUAGCUAUCAUGCUUUGGUUGCAUGCAACCAUGCACGUAUCUUAUGGGAGGCAAUGAGGCAGGUUUGGUCGCUCCCCCAUGACCAGCUUCUUAUAAAUAGCGGCAGGGAAUGGCUGCCAAACUUGCUACUAAAUUGCAAUGAAGCUGAGCGAGACAGAGUUCUUAUGCUUUUCUGGCGUCUUUGGCAAUUACGGAAUGAUUUCACUCAUGGUAAGGAGGUUCCCCCUUCUCAGGAAUCCGGUGCGGCAGCGGCAGGAAUGAUUCUCCGACGACAUGAUGGGGGAUGGACUAGUUCGUUCUGCUUAUGGUCAUCUUGUGGCUGA